rnacentral:lncRNA from 1 species
GCAGGGGAGGCCUCCCACAGCAUCAGGAAAAGGUGCACCCGACACUCUGAUCUCUCGGGUGUCAGGUGGGAACUCUGUGAAAUCACUAUUUCCUCACAGAUGGAUGCAGAAGGCAGAGGCAGAGCGGCAUGGGGGUUGGGGACCCUCUCUGCCCAGAGAGAGAAGAAAGGGUGGGGGUGGGGAAGCAGUGUCAAGGACUGGCAUGUACAUACAAAAGGGGUUACAGGCAACCAAGGGUCGGGAUUAUGGCCUCGAUUUAUAUAUCAGCCAAAUGCUUUUUGAUCAUUUCUCCUUGGUGCUGCCCAUUAGGUCCUCCUUAGCCC